rnacentral:rRNA from 1 species
GAGUUUGAUCGUGGCUCAGAUUGAACGCUGGCGGCAGGCCUAACACAUGCAAGUCGAGCGGUAGAGAGAAGCUUGCUUCUCUUGAGAGCGGCGGACGGGUGAGUAAUGCCUAGGAAUCUGCCUGGUAGUGGGGGAUAACGCUCGGAAACGGACGCUAAUACCGCAUACGUCCUACGGGAGAAAGCAGGGGACCUUCGGGCCUUGCGCUAUCAGAUGAGCCUAGGUCGGAUUAGCUAGUUGGUGAGGUAAUGGCUCACCAAGGCGACGAUCCGUAACUGGUCUGAGAGGAUGAUCAGUCACACUGGAACUGAGACACGGUCCAGACUCUACGGGAGGCAGCAGUGGGGAAUAUUGGACAAUAGGGCGAAAGCCUGAUCCAGCCAUGCCGCGUGUGUGGAGAAGGUACUUCGGAUU